UUUUCCCAUUCUUCUCUCGUGUUCUUCCUCUCCUAAAUUUCUAUUCUCUCUCUUCUCAUCUUUCUCAAAUCCUGUUCUCUUCUAUCAAUCUUAUCCUCUCUUCCAUUUCUCAAAUGAUUUAGUGCUGCUGCAUAAGUUCUAGAUCGUGUCCUAAACUUCAAUUUGAAUUCCAUUUUCAGUAUAGUAUGGCACAAGCUUGGAUGUUCUCGUGGUGUGUUCCUUGAUUUCCUCGGCAGAAUCUUGCUUCCCUUUUGUGUACCCUCUGUAUUUCGCAGAUCCCUCUUUGAUUGAUCUAGUUUCCUUUUCGCUCUUCCUCUUCAAUCUUUUGUUACUUUCUUUGUGUGUGAUCUUUGUUUUCCUUUUUCGCUCUUCACCUUUUGUAUGUGCUGCAAUGCAUAAAAUUACAAUUAGAUGUAUUGUUAUCAUUAAAAGUGAGUUCUAACAA